CUACCCUUGACAUGUCAAGAAUUUUGCAGAGGUGUGAAAGUGCUCGAAAGAGAACUUGAACACAGGUGCUGCAUGGCCGUCGUCAGCUCGUGUCGUGAGAUGUUGGGUUAAGUCCCGCAACGAGCGCAACCCUUGUCAUUAGUUGCUACCGCAAGGAGCACUCUAAUGAGACUGCCGGUGACAAACCGGAGGAAGGUGGGGAUGACGUCAGGUCCUCAUGGCCCUUAUGGGUAGGGCUACACACGUCAUACAAUGGCCGGUACAGAGGGCUGCCAACCCGCGAGGGGGAGCCAAUCCCAGAAAACCGGUCGUAGUCCGGAUCGUAGUCUGCAACUCGACUGCGUGAAGUCGGAAUCGCUAGUAAUCGCGGAUCAGCUUGCCGCGGUGAAUACGUUCC
rnacentral:rRNA from 1 species